GACUCCUGUCGCCGCCGCGUCCCCGAGCCCCGGCGCCGCCUCCCCCGACUCCCGUUGCCACCGUCCCCGAGUCCCGGCGCCGCACCUGCGAGGAGCCGCCGGGCCGCCGUCACGUUCUGCCUCUACGAGCAGAAGGUGAUCCCAAAACGCAGUGCUUCCACAGGCAACUCGGUCGUCGCCACAUCGAGGGCCACGUGCUGACGAAGAGAGGUGAUUGUUGAGAAGGCUGAGAGAAGUGAUAUUCCUAACAUCGACAAGAAAAAGUCACUUCUCAACUUCUCUACUAGAUAUCUGAAAAUUAUUUCUACUUAGGCUGAGAGAAGGCUGAGAGGUGAUUGUAUGGACUCUUUUGUUUAAUCUCGAUGUAUGAGCUCAUAUGGUUGAAUUCUGCUGCUAUAAUUAUAUAUUAUAUAUAUUGUACAAAUGAUGCAAUAUUAUUAUAUGAAAA